GGUACGGUCUGUGUAAUCGGUGUCUGGUACGGUCUGUGUAAUCGGUGUCGGGUACGGUCUGUGUAAUCGGUGUCGGGUACGGUCUGUGUAAUCGGUGUCGGGUACGGUCUGUGUAAUCUUCAGUUAUCAAAAACAGAGUACAGAGAAGUCUAUCCAUCUUUAUUUUGUCUCUAAACUUCAAAAAUAAGAACAAACGUAAUAUUCAAAACGAUCCCUUUCUCACAGUACUUACGAUAUAUUGGUCUGAUCAAAAUAGAGUUUGGUCUAUUAUUAUUUAGUCUAAGCUUGUGUCUCACAAUACACAGUUUAUGCUAUUAAAAUAGAUUCAAUUAAAAAUAGAUGAUCAUUUUCAAAUAUCUGCUGUUAACUUGGUAACUUUUUUUACAAGUUAAAGAGAAACAGCAGGAGACUACUAAAGGUAAAACAUAAACACUAGCUUCAGGGGUUUAAUGGUACGUUACGCAAUAUAAGUGCCGUCCAAGGAGCACUUUCAUUUAAUUUUUUUUUACAACAAAAAUGUUAAAUGUUGAUACUCUGUUUUCUACCCAAUGGACUUGAUGAUGAUGUUGUUGUAGAGGGAUGCAUCCGAGGAACCCAGGGCUCGGCGGUGGUGACGAUGACAGCAGGAUAAACAGUUGUCCACCAACUGUCCACCUUCUCCAGCACGGUGGCCCAAUAAAAACCAGUGAGUUGGCUGAUGGAAGUUCUGAAGAGAUGAAGAGAAAUGGAAGUCCAUUUAAUAUGUCAUCUUUUUAACAUUCAUACAUUAUUUUUGAGGGGGGGGGGAAAAACUCGAUGCAGAUUCAGUUUUUUGUUUUGGUCCCCUAAACGGGAACAAAAAGGACACACUGCAAUGCCUCACAGCUGCUCUGAUAUAUAUUUGAUCGCAUUUGUAUUGAGUAAAAUAUAUCUUAACUAGUGUCUUCUAUUCAAAGUGUAAAGCUGAAGCGAUAGAAAUGUAAAGGCCAUUUCCGGUUUACGUCGACAUGCAGUAUGCAGCGUUUUUCAUGAACGCUGUCUCCUGUACAGCUGAACUUCUGCCAUGCACAUUAAAUAGAGCCAUAGGUCUGUUUUAAUGGUACUUUUAGGAGGCUAAUGAUGAAAAAUAAACCAUAAAAAGAAAGCAAUAUGGGAGGGACAGGGAUAGUGUUGAAAUAGGGAGGGAGGGACAGGGAUAGUGUCGAGAUGGGGAGGGAGGGACAGGGAUAGUGUCGAGAUGGGGAGGGAGGGACAGGGAUAGUGUUGAAAUAGGGAGGGAGGGACAGGGAUAGUGUCGAGAUGGGACGGGAGGGACAGGGAUAGUGUUGAAAUAGGGAGGGAGGGACAGGGAUAGUGUCGAUGGGGAGGGAGGGACAGGGAUAGUGUCGAGAUGGGGAGGGAGGGACAGGGAUAGUGUCGAGAUGGGGAGGGAGGGACAGGGAUGGUGUCGAGAUGGGGAGGGAGGGACAGGGAUAGUGUCGAUGGGGAGGGAGGGAGGACAGGGAUAGUGUCGAUGGGGAGGGAGGGACAGGGAUAGUGUCGAGAUGGGAUGGGAGGGACAGGGAUAGUGUCGAGAUGGGGAGGGAGGGACAGGGAUGGUGUCGAGAUGGGGGGAGGGACAGGGAUAGUGUCGAGAUGGGGAGGGAGGGACAGGGAUAGUGUUGAAAUAGGGAGGGAGGGACAGGGAUAGUGUCGAGAUGGGGAGGGAGGGACAGGGAUAGUGUCGAGAUGGGGAGGGAGGGACAGGGAUGGUGUCGAGAUGGGGAGGGAGGGACAGGGAUAGUGUCGAGAUGGGGAGGGAGGGAGGGACAGGGAUAGUGUCGAUGGGGAGGGAGGGACAGGGAUAGUGUUGAAAUAGGGAGGGAGGGACAGGGAUGGUGUCGAGAUGGGGAGGGAGGGACAGGGAUAGUGUCGAGAUGGGGAGGGAGGGACAGGGAUGGUGUCGAGAUGGGGAGGGAGGG
ensembl:lncRNA